AAGGGCAUCAUCGGUGUUGGAGUUGGAGCAGGAGCCUACAUCCUCAGCCGGUUCGCACUCAAUCAUCCAGAGCUGGUAGAAGUCCUUGUGCUCAUUAACAUUGACCCGUGUGCUAAAGGCUGGAUUGACUGGGCAGCUUCCAAACUCUCAGGCUUGACGACCAACAUCGUGGACAUCAUUUUGGCUCAUCACUUUGGGCAGG